GGGGGUAUAGCUCAUUGUAGAGCACAUGCUUAGCAUGCAUGAGGUCCUGGGUUCAGUCCCUGGUAUCUCCA
rnacentral:tRNA from 1 species